AUCUUCCUGCUCUCCGCCUCUUCUGCCUCCGUCUGCCCUGAUUUUGCAUCUCCUGCCAGGCCUGCCAUCACCUUCUGAUCAAAUAUUAAUGCCUGAUUCUCUGCUUGCUCACCAAUUCAAAGCCAAUUAAUAUUAUCUGUCAAUUAUUUACAGGUCCUGAGGUGCGGAAGCGAUUCCCGGAGGACUACGGCGAUCAGGAAAUUCUGCCCACGGUGGCCAAGUUCUGUUUCCCUUUCUACGUGGACAGCCUCACGGUGGGACAAGUGGGACAGAACUUCACGUUUGUCCUCACGGAUAUCGACAGCAAACAGAGGUUCGGCUUCUGCCGUUUGUCCUCGGGGGCCAAGACCUGCUUCUGUAUCUUAAGGUAAGCCAGAGUUUGCUCUAUCUCCUCCCUCUAGGACAGGGAUCCCC